UACGUAGGGCGCAAGCGUUGUCCGGAAUUAUUGGGCGUAAAGAGCUCGUAGGCGGCUUGUUGCGUCGACCGUGAAAACCCGGGGCUCAACUUCGGGCUUGCGGUCGAUACGGGCGGGCUAGAGUUCGGUAGGGGGAGACUGGAAUUCCUGGUGUAGCGGUGAAAUGCGCAGAUAUCAGGAGGAACACCGGUGGCGAAGGCGGGUCUCUGGGCCGAUACUGACGCUGAGGAGCGAAAGCGUGGGGAGCGAACAGG
rnacentral:rRNA from 1 species